rnacentral:rRNA from 1 species
CACCUAGCGCCCCACGGCAGGGCGGCUGACAUGCUCCCCCUGGAUAAAAGCGGCACGGAAGCUGGGAUAAGAACUUCGUGAGACAGUUCGGUCCAUAUCCGGUGUGGGCGUUAGAGCAUUGAGAGGACCUUUCCCUAGUACGAGAGGACCGGGAAGGACGCACCGCUGGUGAGCACGCCACCGGAAUGACUAACAGCGGGGGGCUCACAGGCCAGGUCAGUACCGGCACCAGCAGAACCAGGGUAGGGAA